UACGAAGGGUGCAAGCGUUAAUCGGAAUUACUGGGCGUAAAGGGUGCGUAGGCGGUUAGUUAAGUCUGUUGUGAAAGCCCUGGGCUCAACCUGGGAAUUGCAGUGGAUACUGGCGAGCUAGAGUGCGGUAGAGGAUGGUGGAAUUCCCGGUGUAGCGGUGAAAUGCGUAGAGAUCGGGAGGAACACCCGUGGCGAAGGCGGCCAUCUGGACCAGCACUGACGCUGAGGCACGAAAGCGUGGGGAGCAAACAGG
rnacentral:rRNA from 1 species